UUUCAGUAUUCAGCACUAGUCCUCUUACUCCUGUUAUUGGAAUGCGCUCUCCUUUACUACUUCUCAAGCAACCUUGUAGAGAAAGGCUUGCAAGAUGAUGGACUAUGGACUCACGCCAUGAGGCUCGCCUUCCAAUGCUGUGAACACAACGCCACAAUACCUGAUGUUAAGAAGCCCCCUUGGUCUUGCUGUGGUCCCGAAACCUACCCUGACAAUUGCACAUCAACUAUGGUGGUCA